AACAAACGCUGGCGGCGUGCCUAAUACAUGCAAGUCGAACGAAUGUAGCAAUACAUGAGUGGCGUACGGGUGAGUAACACGUGGAUAAUCUUCCUUUAAGUGGGGAAUAACCAAUCGAAAGAUUGGCUAAUACCGCAUAAGACCACAGUUUCUUCGGAGACAGGGGUUAAAGGCUUCGGCCGCUUUUAGAUGAGUCUGCGUCCGAUUAGCUAGUUGGUGAGGUAAUGGCUCACCAAGGCGACGAUCGGUAACUGGUCUGAGAGGAUGACCAGUCACACUGGGACUGAGACACGGCCCAGACUCCUGCGGGAGGCAGCAGUAGGGAAGAUUGCACAAUGGAGGAAACUCUGAUGCAGCGACGCCGCGUGAGUGAUGAAGGCCUUCGGGUUGUAAAGCUCUGUUCUCAGGGAAUAAUAAAUUGAAGGUACCUGAGAAGAAAGGACCGGCUAACUUCGUGCCAGCAGCCGCAGUAA
rnacentral:rRNA from 1 species